UCGGCGAUUCAGCGGCGGACGGGUGAGUAAUGCCUAGGAAUCUGCCUGGUAGUGGGGGACAACGUUUCGAAAGGAACGCUAAUACCGCAUACGUCCUACGGGAGAAAGCAGGGGACCUUCGGGCCUUGCGCUAUCAGAUGAAUCUAGGUCGGAUUAGCUAGUUGGUGGGGUAAUGGCUCACCAAGGCGACGAUCCGUAACUGGUCUGAGAGGAUGAUCAGUCACACUGGAACUGAGACACGGUCCAGACUCCUACGGGAGGCAGCAGUGGGGAAUAGCGGACAAUGGGCGAAAGCCUGAUCCAGCCAUGCCGCGUGUGUGAAGAAGGUCUUCGGAUUGUAAUGCACUUUAAGUUGGGAGGAAGGGCAGUAAGUUAAUACCUUGCUGUUUUGACGUUACCGACAGAAUAAGCACCGGCUAACUCUGUGCCAGCAGCCGCGGUAAUACAGAGGGUGCAAGCGUUAAUCGGAAUUACUGGGCGUAAAGCGCGCGUAAAUAU
rnacentral:rRNA from 1 species